rnacentral:rRNA from 1 species
UCCGAGGGGCUGCCAUAGUACAUGCAAGUCGAACGAACUCUGGUUUUUAUUUGGGUGCUUGCCUCAUGAUUUACAGUUUGAGUGGGUGGGGAAAUUUGGUGAAGUAAACACGUGUGGAAACCCCUGCCCGGAAGGGGGGGGAUAACACCCUGGGAAAGAGGGUUUUUUAACUCCCGCAUAACAACCUUGGGCCCCCGCUUUUUCCCGAGUUUGAAAGAUGGUUUUUUGGCUAUCACUUUUUUGGGGAUGGUUCCCCGGGGCGUUUUAGCUAGAGGGUGGUGGGGAUAACGGCCCUCCCCCUGGCAAUUUUAUUUUGGGCCGACCUUGGGGGGGUUAUUUCGGCCACAUUGGGGACUGGGGCCCGGGCCCAAAUUUCUUAGGGGGAGGCAGCAGUUGGGGAUUUUUCCACAAUGGACGAAAGUUUUGAUGGAGCAACGCCGCCUUGAGUGAAGAAAGGGUUUUGGGUUGGUAAAAUUUUGGUUGUUAAAGAAGAACAUUUCUGAGAGUAACUGUUCAGGUAUUGACGGUAUUUAACCAGAAAGCCACGGCUAAUUACGUGCCAGCAGCCGCGGUAAUACGUAGGUGGCAAGCGUUGUCCGGAUUUAUUGGGCGUAAAGCGAGCGCCGGCGGUUUUUUAAGUCUGAUGUGAAAGCCUUCGGCUCAACCGAAGAAGUGCAUCGGAAACUGGGAAACUUGAGUGCAGAAGAGGACAGUGGAACUCCAUGUGUAGCGGUGAAAUGCGUAGAUAUAUGGAAGAACACCAGUGGCGAAGGCGGCUGUCUGGUCUGUAACUGACGCUGAGGCUCGAAAGUAUGGGUAGCAAACAGGAUUAGAUACCCUGGUAGUCCAUACCGUAAACGAUGAAUGCUAAGUGUUGGAGGGUUUCCGCCCUUCAUUGCUGCAGCUAACGCAUUAAGCAUUCCGCCUGGGGAGUACGGCCGCAAGGCUGAAACUCACAGGAAUUGACGGGGGCCCGCACAAGCGGUGGAGCAUGUGGUUUAAUUCUAAGCUACGCGAGGAACCUUACCAGGUCUUGACGUACUAUGCAAAUCUAAGAGAUUAGACGUUCCCUUCGGGGACAUGGAUACAGGUGGUGCAUGGUUGUCGUCAGCUCGUGUCGUGAGAUGUUGGGUUAAUUCCCGCAACGAGGCGCACCCCUUAUUAUCAUUUGCCAGCAUUAAGUUUGGCCCUCUGGUGGAGACUGCCGGUGACAAACCGGAGGAAGGUGGGGGAUGAACGUGAAAUCAAUCAUGCCCCUUAUGAACGUGGGGUACACACGUGGUGGAAUGGAAUGGUAACACCGAUUUGCGAAUUCGCGAGAGUAGGGUAAUUCUCUUAGGGCCUUUCUCUUUUCUUUUUUGUGGGCUGCGACUCGCCUCCCUGGAGUGGGAAGUCGCUUAGUAAUCGCGGAAUCAGCAUGCCGCGGUGAAUACGUUCCCGGGGCGUUUGUACCCCCCCCGCCCGUCCCCCCAUGAGAGUUUGUAACAUCCAAAGUCAGGUGGGGUAACCUUUUAGGAACCCCAUGCGGCUUAGCCUUUAGGGGCAGAUCAGGGGGGGGGGGGGCCCCCCAACAAAGAAUU